ACUUCACAACCGAAAAAGCUUUAGGGUCUCUCUCUCUGUCUCUUUCUUCAGGUUUCAUCUACGAAGAAGAAUUCGUCUGCACCCAUUCGACAAGCGUAGCAACACCAAACCCAGUCCCAGACUUCUUCUUCUCGUUCCAAACCGGUCCAGCCAUGUCUAUAUGCAUCCAUUGCACCUUCUCGCUCACAAACUGAGAAACCGCAAAAAAUACCAAAUGGUUGUGUUAUUUUCACCGUUUUUGUUUUAUAUCAGAAACAUCUAGUGUAUGGUCUUUAAAGAGACUUUGUUUUCACCUGUUUCAAGAAGAGAGCUGCGGUGAUGGAGCCUCCUGCACGCCCGCCUGUGUUGACCAUAUCAGCCACUCCAGACUUCAUCAUCUCCCAAUAACUCUCUUCUAAUGGCAUCCUCCAUAGCUUCUCUCCACUCUUCUCUGACGCAGCAAUCACUUCCUUUGCAAGCUCGUCGUUAGGUGUGUAGAUCCCUGCCAAGCGACAAUCAUCAUGAGCCAACGUUAUUUAAAGAAUCCCAAAUCACAUAGCGAGACAAAGAUGUAUAGUUUCUUCAGGGUUGUUUAGCUAUGUACCAGCCAUCGAUGUUCCAAGAGCAAUAACGCAGGCCCCGGUCAACGUAGCGAGGUCAACAAUCUGCAAGUUAUCUCACAAUUAUAAACAGAAACAAUCUCCUUAAAGCUUCUCUUAUCAAUAAAGCCAACAAAAACCAAUGUCAUACCUUGUCGACGCCCUGGUUACAAGCAUACACUAGAGCAUCAGCAAGUGUUAGACGACCUUCAGCAUCUGUGUUGUUGACCUGCACACACACAUUGUCAACAAUUAGCAUGACACAAGAAAAACAGCAAAGCUCGAACCUUUAGAAAAGAAAAGAAAAAGCUCGGAUACCUCAAUGGUCUUUCCGUUUGAGGCUGUGAUGACAUCUCCAGGUCUCAUUCCGGUUCCACUAAUCAUAUUCUCACAGGCUGCAACGAUGAAAUGAACCUGAAUGGGAAAGAUCAAUUGGUUAGUUACCUUAAGAAACUCUAGCUUCACAAAAGUAUCUGAUGGGAGAAAGCUUACCUCAACACCAGGAGGCUUAAUCUCACCAAUAGCUUUCGCAGCGCCAAGAACAGCAGCUGAACCGCCCAUAUCGAAUUUCAUGAGCUCGAUCGAGCAGCCAGGUCCAGUCUUGAUGUUGUAGCCACCACUGCAAACACAAAUCAUACGAUCAACAACCACUAAAUCAACAAUAAAAGAGACAAAUUCGUAAGAGCGUAAAAAUUCAAAGCAAGUACAGAAGUGAGAUGCUCUAAGGGAUUACCUGUCAAAGGUCAAUCCUUUUCCAACAAGAGCAAGUUUGGUCUUAACAGAGCCACUCGGGGGUUUAUAGACAAGGUGGAUGAAGUAAGGAGGAUUAGCCGAUGCAGCAGCAACAGCUAGAUAAGAGCCCAUCUUCAACUCUUUGCAUUGCUCCUCGUUCAAGAUGUUUGCAGUGAAGA
rnacentral:lncRNA from 1 species